CCGAAGGAAGAAUGGGACCCCAUAAACCCUCUUUUGGUGGGAUUUGGACAGACAGUUUGCACUCCGCUCAGACCUCGUUGUGGCAUGUGCAGUGUGAGCGAGUUUUGCCCAUCUGCAUUCAAAGAAGCCUCAAGCCCAUCAUCCAAGUCAAAGAAGUCUGGUUUGAGCAAGAAGCUUUGACAAAUUGAAUCUCAGAGGGGAAUCAGUUUAUGUCUUCUUCUGUCGGCCUUUUGUACAUAUAUCUUAACCCUAAACAAUUUCAUGGAUUCUUGGAUUGCCAAGGUAAAAUCUUGUGUCCUACCACCUCAUGUACUUAGGCAAAAGGGGAAUGCAAAUUGGGAAAGGGUGUGUCAAUUGGGAGAGUUUUUGUGGCAUAGUUUUUGGGGCAUUGUAUAACAAAUUCAGAUGGUCAAGAUCUAUAUAAUAUUCAUUGAAGUAUAAUUGGAAGAUCA